rnacentral:rRNA from 1 species
AGAGUUUGAUCCUGGCUCAGAUUGAACGCUGGCGGAACGCUUUACACAUGCAAGUCGAACGGUAACAGCGAGGAAAGCUUGCUUUUUUCGGCUGACGAGUGGCGAACGGGUGAGUAAUACAUCGGAACGUGUCCGCUCGUGGGGGACAACCAUCCGAAAGGAUGGCUAAUACCGCAUGAGUUCUACGGAAGAAAGAGGGGGACCUGCUUGCAGGCCUCUCGCGAGCGGAGCGGCCGAUGACUGAUUAGCCGGUUGGUGAGGUAACGGCUCACCAAAGCAACGAUCAGUAGCUGGUCUGAGAGGACGACCAGCCACACUGGGACUGAGACACGGCCCAGACUCCUACGGGAGGCAGCAGUGGGGAAUUUUGGACAAUGGGCGCAAGCCUGAUCCAGCUAUUCCGCGUGUGGGAUGACGGCCCUCGGGUUGUAAACCACUUUAGUAGAGAACGAAAAGGAGCUAUCGAAUAAAUAGCUCUGCUGACGGUACUCUAAGAAUAAGCACCGGCUAACUACGUGCCAGCAGCCGCGGUAAUACGUAGGGUGCGAGCGUUAAUCGGAAUUACUGGGCGUAAAGGGUGUGCAGGCGGCUGAGUAAGACAGAUGUGAAAUCCCCGGGCUUAACCUGGGAACCGCAUAUGUGACUGCUUGGCUAGAGUGCGUCAGAGGGAGGUGGAAUUCCACGUGUAGCAGUGAAAUGCGUAGAUAUGUGGAAGAACACCGAUGGCGAAGGCAGCCUCCUGGGACGCAACUGACGCUCAUACACGAAAGCGUGGGGAGCAAACAGGGUUAGAUACCCUGGUAGUCCACGCCCUAAACGAUGUCAACUAGUUGUUGGGGAUUAAAAUUCUCAGUAACGCAGCCAACGCGUGAAGUUGACCGCCUGGGAAGUACGGUCGCAAGACUAAAACUCAAAGGAAUUGACGGGGACCCGCACAAGCGGUGGAUGAUGUGGAUUAAUUCGAUGCAACGCGAAAAACCUUACCUACCCUUGACAUGUCAGAGAAGCUUUUGUAAUGAGAGUGUGCCCGCAAGGGCGUCUGAACACAGGUGCUGCAUGGCUGUCGUCAGCUCGUGUCGUGAGAUGUUGGGUUAAGUCCCGCAACGAGCGCAACCCUUGUCACUAGUUGCUACGAAAGGGCACUCUAGUGAGACUGCCGGUGACAAACCGGAGGAAGGUGGGGAUGACGUCAAGUCCUCAUGGCCCUUAUGGGUAGGGCUUCACACGUCAUACAAUGGUCGGAACAGAGGGCAGCCAACCCGUGAGGGGGAGCAAAUCCCAGAAAACCGAUCGUAGUCCGGAUUGCAGUCUGCAUCUCGACUGCAUGAAGUCGGAAUCGCUAGUAAUCGCGGAUCAGCAUGCCGCGGUGAAUACGUUCCCAGGUCUUGCACUCACCGCCCGUCAA